AUUGAACGCUGGCGGCACGCCUAACACAUGCAAGUCGAGCGGUAACAUGAUCAGUAGCAAUACUGAUUGAUGACGAGCGGCGGACGGGUGAGGAACACGUAGGAAUCUGCCCUCUAGCGGGGGAUAACUAAGGGAAACAUUAGCUAAAACCGCAUAAUCACGAGAGAGUAAAGCUGCCGUAAGGGCGCAAUAGAGGAGGAGCUUGCGUCAGAUUAGCUAGUAGGUGAGGUAAGAGCGCACCAAGGCGAUGGUCGGUAACUGGUGUGAGAGGACGACCAGUCACACUGGGACUGAGACACGGCCCAGACGCCUACGGGAGGCAGCAGUGGGGAAUAUUGGACAAUGGGGGCAACCCUGAUCCAGCGAUGCCGCGUGAGUGAAGAAGGCCUUCGGGUCGUAAAGCUCUUUAGGUUGGGAAGAAGGGUGUAGUAAUACAUCUUGACGGUACCAACAGAAUAAGCACCGGCAAACUCUGUGCCAGCCGCCGCGGUAACAC
rnacentral:rRNA from 1 species